rnacentral:rRNA from 1 species
CCCUUAGAUGUUCUGGGCCGCACGCGCGCUACACCGAUCAGUGCAACAAGCAUCCGUCCUUGGCCGACAGGCCCGGGCAAUCUUUGAACGCUGAUCGUGAUGGGGAUAGACUUUUGCAAUUUUUGGUCUUCAACGAGGAAUUCCUAGUAAACGCAAGUCAUCAACUUGCAUUGAUUACGUCCCUGCCCUUUGUACACACCGCCCGUCGCACCUACCGAUUGAAUGGUCCGGUGAAGCCUCCGGAUUGGCGUGCACCCUCGGGUGCUGCCGAGAAGUUGGCUAAACCUUACCAUUUAGAGGAAGGUGAAGUCGUAACA